GAUGAACGCUGGCGGCGUGCCUAAUACAUGCAAGUCGAGCGAACGGACGAGAAGCUUGCUUCUCUGAUGUUAGCGGCGGACGGGUGAGUAACACGUGGAUAACCUACCUAUAAGACUGGGAUAACUUCGGGAAACCGGAGCUAAUACCGGAUGAUAUUUUGAACCGCAUGGUUCAAAAGUGAAAGACGGUCUUGCUGUCACUUCUAGAUGGAUCCGCGCUGCAUUAGCUAGUUGGUAAGGUAACGGCUUACCAAGGCAACGAUGCAUAGCCGACGUGAGAGGGUGAUCGGCCACACUGGAACUGAGACACGGUCCUGACCCCGACGGGAGGCAGCAGUAGGGAACCUUCCGCAAUGGGCGAAAGCCUGACGGAGCAACGCCGCGUGGGUGAUGAAGGUCUUCGGAUCGUAAGACUCUGUUAUGAGGGAAGAACAUAUGUGUAAGUAACUGUGCACAGCGUGACGGUACCUAAUCAGAAAGCCACGGCUAACUACGUG
rnacentral:rRNA from 1 species